CGUUUGACGUUAGCGACAGAAGAAAGCACCGGCUAACUCCGUGCCAGCAGCCGCGGUAAUACGGAGGGUGCGAGCGUUAAUCGGAAUUACUGGGCGUAAAGCGCAUGCAGGUGGUUUGUUAAGUCAGAUGUGAAAGACCCGGGGCGUCAACCUCCGGAAUUAGCAUUUGUAAACUAGGCAGACUAGAGUACUGUAGAGGGGGGUAGGAAUUUCAGGUGUAGCGGUGAAAUAGCGUAGAGAUCUGAAGGAAUACCGGUGGCGAAGGCGGCCCCCUCGGACAGAUACUGACACUCAGAUGCGAAAGCGUGGGGAGCAAACAGGAUUAGAUACCCUGGUAG
rnacentral:rRNA from 1 species